rnacentral:misc_RNA from 1 species
GAUGAAGAACGUAGCGAAAUGCGAUAAGUAAUGUGAAUUGCAGAAAUCAGUGAAUCAUCGAAUCUUUGAACGCACAUUGCGCCCGCUAGUAUUCUGGCGGGCAUGCCUGUUCGAGCGUCAUUUCAACCAUCAAGCCCUGCUUGUGUUGGGGUCCUGCGGCUGCCCGCAGGCCCUGAAAACCAGUGGCGGGCUCGCUAGUCACACCGAGCGCAGUAGCACAUCUCGCUCAGGGCGUGCGGCGGGUUCUUGCCGUAAAACACCCCCUUUUUACCAAGGUUGACCUCGGAUCAGGUAGGAAUACCCGCUGAACUUAAGCAUAUCAAUAAGCGGAGGA